GAGGAGCUGUUCAGCCACUUGCAGAGACAGCCAGAGAGUGCUUCAAGGACUGCGUGGAGCUCUGGAGAAGCAGGGAAUUCAGGGCCCUCUUUUGUGAGGCAUGAGAAAUUUAGGCAGGAUCAUGUCUACAAAAGAGGCUGUCACUUUGGCUUAUCAAUAUUUUCACCUCGUUACCCCUUCCAGAUCAGAAUGGGUGCUUUAUUUGUUUUUAUGGAUUAUUGUGUCAACCAAAACGAGAGUUCAGAGUCACUCUAAAGAUUUGAAACUCCUUCAAGAUUUGAUGAAUGCGCAUUUUGAUGCCACAUCUAUUUUUAGAAAGCUGUGGCUGAAUAAAGCAUUUUAUUGUAUAGCAUUACCCAAGUUAACAGAAGAAUUGUGGGACCCAAAUGACCAAAUAAUGUGAUUUUUCACUUUUGAUGAAUUAAAGGGUAUGCUGAGUG
rnacentral:lncRNA from 1 species